CAUGUAACUUAUCUUUGCAAAGGUUAUGAUCUACUGAGUGUGUUCAUCCUAUUUGUAUGCAUGUAUCAUUUUUAUAUCUCAAGUUAUGAGCGUUGGCUCUAUUUUUGUAUUUAAAGAGUUUGCUGGAGGAAGCACAUAAAACCGAUUUGGUCAACGUAGUGUGAAGGGGUUAUGCAAGUAAUUGGGAGUACUUGGCUAACAAUGAACAUUGAAAGGGGCCAAUCCACAUCUGAGCUUUCCUGGGAACGUUCAAACUAACAUGUGGGCAAUGGAGUUGGCCUGUAGAGAGCUGAGUCAUGCAUGGACAUGUGACUUGCCCAUGUGACUCCAAAACUCCACCUUGUAGCUGUGAUUCUACACAGGGGGAGAGAGAGGUUUCCAGCCACAAGAGAGAGACUAUAUAAGCCCCUGGAAAAGCCUCCAUUUUGUCUGCAGCUGGCUCAAGAGAUAGCCUGUCCAAAGAGAUGCCUGAAAGAAAUUGGAACAAAGGAGAGUAACUACAGGGGUGUGAAUGAUUGCUGGACCCAGACUAGGAAGGAAUCUAGUCUGUAACAGAAGCUUAUGGGAACAUCUCUGAGGAAGGCAUCUAUGGAGCAGACUCAGUGACCCAAACUGAAGGCAACAUUACCAUCUCCCAAGGGGAACCUGUAUGUCUGAAUUGUACCUAUCAAUUUUCUGUCACUCCUUAUCCCCUCUGGUACAUGCAAGUUCCCCAGCAAGGCCCUCACACUAUUUCUCAGGGAGGUUGGACGGGAGGACUCGGAUGAAGGGAUCAAAAAAGGGUUCCAUGCCACCCAUGAUAAAAAGGACAAAUCCUUCUACCUCUGGAAGCCAUCCAGUGAACAGUGACUCCGCGAGCGACACAGUGACACGGACCGGCAGGGAGCUGAGCAAAAACCAGACAGGUGGCCGUGGUCCAGCAGCCGGGCUCCGCAGAAGCUUAGGAGGGAGCCGAGCUGAAUCUCACCGGCUCCCACCCCGCCACCAAGGCUCGUGACAGCACAGUCUGGUACCGGCAGCUCCCGGACCCGGGACCGCAGUUUGUAGGUAGCAGAUACAAGGAAACCACUAAGAGCACCGAGCCGGCGGGAGCCCCGCACAUCUCCACCGACAGAGCGUGUCCAGCACCCUGGCCCUGCGCCGUGUGAGGCUGGGAGACGCUGUGGUGUAGUUCUGUGCUCGGACGGACACAGUGGGACAGCCAGGGGCUGCCCCCCUUUAAUAAACCUUCUGGUGUAAGCAGAAGGUGGGGAACGCUUCAGUGGGUGCCUGGGAGAGGGGCGACCAGGGAGAACGAAAAGAGAGGAAUAAAACAUGUAGGGCCAAAUUUACAAAAACAUCUCUGUGCACCUAAUUAUUUACACGUGUGACUGAUGAGAGGUGGUACUUUGGAAAACUUCUAAGAAAGUCUCUUUCAGAGGGAAUUAAGAAGAACAGUAAAGGGAAGGGUAAAACCAUGGAAGUAAAUAAACCCUUCCAAGACAUCCGCAAGCACUUCACUCAGCGCAUCCAUCAACCUUUUCCAUAGGAUGUUGUGACGGCCAAGACCAUGACAGGGUGGAGGAUAGGUCCAUCAACGGCUAUUAGCCCGGAUGGUGUCCCUAGCCUCCCUUUGCCAGAAGCUGGGAAUGGGUGACAGGGGAUGGAUCACUUGAUGAUUCCAUGUUCUGUUCAUUCCCUCUGGGGCACCUGGCAUUGGCCACUGUCCGGAGACAGGACACUGGGCUAGAUGGACCUUCGGUCUGACCCAGUAGGGCCAUUCUUAUCUAUCCAUCCCCAGAUCUCUCACUCCAUCCAUCGAUCACCGCCAGGCGUCCCUGAACUAGAAGCAAAAGAUGGUCCCUAUAUAGACAUAAUGACACCUGGGUCUACUACUUGGCCUGGUUUUUCAUGAAGUCGACCGAGUUCCCCUACCCCCAUCCCGAGCCCGCGCCUGCCUCCUGAGAGACGCAGCUUUGGAGGCUCAGAUGAAAGGCCGCUCAGAGAGAGAGAGAGAGAGAAACGUGUUUAUGCCCUCCCCCCUCACUCACACCUCCAGCUCCGGCAGGAGCAUCUUUGCCUGUUGUUUAGUCGUCACCUCUGUAGGAAACGGGCAACUCUUCCCUCUUGACCUUUUCCACAGGGACAAGGCAGCGAGACCAGGGGCUGAUCCCUGGGGAGGAGCAGAGACACCGAGAUUCC